rnacentral:lncRNA from 1 species
GUGGUGAAUAUUGAUGGAGCGGGAGAUUGGUUUUACAUAUCAUGCAAAAAGUGUUCGAAAAAAAUUGAGAAGUUAGAACACCGAUUCUAUUGUAAGAAUUGCAGCAACUUUAGCGAGUCUGGGGAGAUGAAGUAUAAGAUUAUAAUAAAUGUUGCGGAUGAGUCUAGCAGUUCACCAUUUGUGUUAUGGGAUAGGGAGUGUAAAAAUGUGAUAGGAAAACCAGCUGCUGAAGUUAAAGUUCAGACGACGACAGAGGUACUAUUUUUUUUUAGUAAAAAUUAUAAUUAUGUAAUACCUUCAUAAACACAGGUUUCCUGCCAACUUAUAUCUUCUAUUCUAUAGUUUUUUAAGGUAGUCUGAGGUUCCAAAUGAGAUUCGAGACGCUUUACUACAAAAGAAAUACAUGUUCAAGAUUAAGGUCCCUCUUGGUGAAGGGUGGAGAUAUAAUAAAGCCUAUAGUGUCUCAACUCUAGCAACAGACCCUAAUGUUGUUGCUACAUACUCUGCUAAGUGCUCGGACAGCCAUCAAUCUAAUUCAGUUUCCAUGCUUGAGAGUUCAAAUGAGGUUAUGGAUACAAUUGGAGAACAAACACCUGUUGCUGCUCAGUCAAGGCUUGGAGAUGAGAGUGAAUGGAUUGAUGACGGAGUAACUAAAAGAAGUCUAAUGGAUGAAUUUUCUUCCACUAAACCAGCAAAGAAAGCUAAAAUUGAAAUCAAGCAAGAGAAAGACUAGAUGUUGCAGC